rnacentral:misc_RNA from 1 species
AGUAGGCUGCAGUGCGCAAGUUUAAGAUUUGUCAUGGGGGAAGUAUUGUGGCCACUUCUCAGCCAUCCUCUAAUAGCCUCAGCAUCAUAUGUGAAACCAUCCGCCGCUAUUUGUGGAUCUUUCAUGACUUCCUGGAAAAUGGGACAGACAAAAUGGGAAGGAAUCCGCCGGUGCAGCUCCUUGGAACUUCUGCAGCAUGCUG